rnacentral:rRNA from 1 species
UACGUAGGGUGCAAGCGUUGUCCGGAAUUAUUGGGCGUAAAGAGCUCGUAGGCGGUCUGUCGCGUCGGCUGUGAAAUCCCCGGAGCUCAACUCCGGGUCUGCAGUCGAUACGAGCAAACUAGAGUGUUGCAGGGGAGACUGGAAUUCCUGGUGUAGCGGUGAAAUGCGCAGAUAUCAGGAGGAACACCGAUGGCGAAGGCAGGUCUCUGGGCAUUAACUGACGCUGAGGAGCGAAAGCAUGGGGAGCGAACAGG